GGCGCGGUGGUGAAGUAGCUAACACAGAUGUCUGCAGAACAUCCAUUCGGGGGUGCAAGUCCCCCUCGCGCCU
rnacentral:tRNA from 1 species